ACUCCUACGGGAGGCAGCAGUGGGAAGUAUUGCACAAUGGGAAACCGGACAUGCAGCCAUGCCGCGUGUGUGAAGAAGGCCUUCGGGUUGUAAAGCACUUUCAGUAGGGAGGAAGGUAGUGUAGUUAACACCUGCAUUAUUUGACGUUACCUACAGAAGAAGCACCGGCUAACUCCGUGCCAGCAGCCGCGGUAAUACGGAGGGUGCGAGCGUUAAUCGGAAUUACUGGGCGUAAAGCGCAUGCAGGUGGUUUGUUAAGUCAGAUGUGAAAGCCCGGGGCUCAAGCCU
rnacentral:rRNA from 1 species